CCUACGGGCGGCUGCAGUGGGGAAUUUUGCGCAAUGGGCGAAAGCCUGACGCAGCAACGCCGCGUGAGUGAUGAAGGCCUUCGGGAUGUAAAACUCUGUCGUUUGGGACGAAACGGCCCGCAAGGGUCACUGACUGUACCAAGUGAGGAAGCCCCGGCUAACUCCGUGCCAGCAGCCGCGGUAAUACGGAGGGGGCAAGCGUUGUUCGGAAUUACUGGGCGUAAAGGGCGUGUAGGCGGUUAGGUAAGUCAGUUGUGAAAGCCCCGAGCUUAACUUGGGAAUUGCAACUGAAACUGCCUAGCUAGAGUUUUGGAGAGGAAAGCGGAACUCCCAGUGUAGCGGUGAAAUGCGUAGAUAUUGGGAGGAACACCGGUGGCGAAGGCGGCUUUCUGGACAAUAACUGACGCUGAGGCGCGAAAGCUAGGGGAGCAAACGGGAUUAGAUACCCCUGUAGUC
rnacentral:rRNA from 1 species